rnacentral:misc_RNA from 1 species
UACAGAGGGUGCAAACGUUAAUCGGAAUUACUGGGCGUAAAGCGCGCGUAGGCGGUUCGAUAAGUGGGAUGUGAAAGCCCCGGGCUCAACCUGGGAAUUGCCUUCCAAACUGUCGGGCUAGAGUGUGGUAGAGGGAGGUAGAAUUUCCUGUGUAGCGGUGAAAUGCGUAGAUAUAGGAAGGAAUACCAGCGGUGAAGGCGGCCUCCUGGACCAACACUGACGCUGAGGUGCGAAAGCGUGGGGAGCAAACAGG